UACGAAGGGGGCUAGCGUUGUUCGGAAUUACUGGGCGUAAAGCGCGUGUAGGCGGAUCUGCAAGUCGGGGGUGAAAUCCCGAGGCUCAACCUCGGAACUGCCUUCGAUACUGCGGGUCUCGAGUCCGGGAGAGGUGAGUGGAAUUCCUAGUGUAGAGGUGAAAUUCGUAGAUAUUAGGAAGAACACCAGUGGCGAAGGCGGCUCACUGGCCCGGUACUGACGCUGAGGCGCGAAAGCGUGGGGAGCAAACAGG
rnacentral:rRNA from 1 species